rnacentral:rRNA from 1 species
UGUCUGAAUAUGGGGGGACCAUCCUCCAAGGCUAAAUACUCCUGACUGACCGAUAGUGAACCAGUACCGUGAGGGAAAGGCGAAAAGAACCCCUGUGAGGGGAGUGAAAUAGAUCCUGAAACCGCAUGCAUACAAGCAGUGGGAGCACCUUCGUGGUGUGACUGCGUACCUUUUGUAUAAUGGGUCAGCGACUUAUAUUCAGUAGCGAGGUUAACCGUAUAGGGGAGCCGUAGAGAAAUCGAGUCUUAAUAGGGCGUUUAGUUGCUGGGUAUAGACCCGAAACCAGGCGAUCUAUCCAUGAGCAGGUUGAAGGUUGGGUAACACUAACUGGAGGACCGAACCCACUGUCGUUGAAAAGCCAGGGGAUGACUUGUGGAUAGGGGUGAAAGGCUAAUCAAGCCUGGUGAUAGCUGGUUCUCCCCGAAAGCUAUUUAGGUAGCGCCUCGGACGAAUACCAUAGGGGGUAGAGCACUGUUUCGGCUAGGGGGUCAUCCCGACUUACCAAACCGAUGCAAACUCCGAAUACCUAUGAGUACUAUCCGGGAGACAGACUGCGGGUGCUAACGUCCGUAGUCAAGAGGAAAACAAUCCAGACCGCCAGCUAAGGCCCCAAAAUCAUAGUUAAGUGGGAAACGAUGUGGGAAGGCAUAGACAGCUAGGAGGUUGGCUUAGAAGCAGCCACCCUUUAAAGAAAGCGUAAUAGCUCACUAGUCGAGUCGGCCUGCGCGGAAGAUGUAACGGGGCUAAAACUAUGUGCCGAAGCUGCGGAU